GCGCGCGUAGCUCAGCGGUUAGAGCAACGGACUUAUAAUUCGUGGGUCCCUGGUUCGAAUCCAGGCGCGCGCA
rnacentral:tRNA from 1 species